UGUUAAAAAUUUGUUUUGAAUCACUCCCCUAUUCUAAGCCAAUGGAUUGAAAUGUGAAAUUGUGGCUUUUGUUGGUUAUUUUCCUCUUCUUUCUGGAUGUUUUUUUUUUUUGUUUUUGUUUUCUUCUAUUUUUGGCCCACACCUCAACAAGCUCCAUUCCCGGCCUUCAAGAUUUGUUCUUUGUUUUGGAAUUAAAAAUAGAAAAUGGUAAAAAAAAAAAAAAAAAAAAAAAAAAAAAAAAAAAAA
rnacentral:lncRNA from 1 species